rnacentral:rRNA from 1 species
CCCAGACUCCUACGGGAGGCAGCAGUGAGGAAUAUUGGUCAAUGGGCGAGAGCCUGAACCAGCCAAGUCGCGUGAAGGAUGACGGCCCUACGGGUUGUAAACUUCUUUUGUCAGGGAGCAAUUGAGUCCACGUGUGGGCUUAGCGAGAGUACCUGAAGAAAAAGCAUCGGCUAACUCCGUGCCAGCAGCCGCGGUAAUACGGAGGAUGCGAGCGUUAUCCGGAUUUAUUGGGUUUAAAGGGUGCGCAGGCGGAAUGUCAAGUCAGCGGUAAAAUUUCGGGGCUCAACCCCGUCGUGCCGUUGAAACUGGCGUUCUUGAGUGAGCGAGAAGUAUGCGGAAUGCGCGGUGUAGCGGUGAAAUGCAUAGAUAUCGCGCAGAACCCCGAUUGCGAAGGCAGCGUGCCGUGCCGCCACUGACGCUGAGGCACGAAAGCGCGGGGAUCGAACAGGAUUAGAUACCCCGGUA